GACGAACGCUGGCGGCGUGCUUAACACAUGCAAGUCGAACGGUAAGGCCCUUCGGGGUACACGAGUGGCGAACGGGUGAGUAACACGUGGGUGAUCUGCCCUGCACUUCGGGAUAAGCCUGGGAAACUGGGUCUAAUACCGGAUAGGACCACUGCCUGCAUGGGUGGUGGUGGAAAGCUUUUGCGGUGUGGGAUGGGCCCGCGGCCUAUCAGCUUGUUGGUGGGGUGAUGGCCUACCAAGGCGACGACGGGUAGCCGGCCUGGGAGGGUGACCGGCCACACUGGGACUGGGGUACGGCCCAGACUCCUACGGGAGGCAGCAGUGGGGAAUAUUGCACAAUGGGCGCAAGCCUGAUGCAGCGACGCCGCGUGAGGGAUGACGGCCUUCGGGUUGUAAACCUCUUUCAGCACCGACGAAGCGCAAGUGACGGUAGGUGCAGAAGAAGGACCGGCCAACUACGUGCCAGCCGCCGCGGUAAAAC
rnacentral:rRNA from 1 species